CUUGAUAGUCUCCUACACCCACUAUCCGCCCGGGUACUACGAGCACUAGCUUAAAACCCAAAGGACUUGGCGGUGCUUUAGAUCCCCCUAGAGGAGCCUGUUCUAGAACCGAUAACCCCCGUUAAACCUCACCCUCUCUUGUUCUUCCCGUCUAUAUACCGCCGUCGUCAGCUUACCCUAUGAAGGAACCACAGUAAGCAAAACUAGUACAACUUAAAACGCCAGGUCGAGGUGUAGCAUAUGAGAGGGGAAGAAAUGGGCUACAUUCCCUACUAACAGGGUAUACGAACAAUGUAAUGAAAUAUAUAUUAGAAGGAGGAUUUAGCAGUAAGCAGAAAAUAGAGCG
rnacentral:rRNA from 1 species